CUGCGCCACCAGGGAAGCCCGGGUUUUUUUUUUUAAUUGACUUAUACCAUAGAUAUUUUACAAUAAUCUUGUUUUAUUUUUAUAACCAGAAGAAUAUAAUUUUGUUUUUUUAAAAAAAACUUUGAUAAAUGUUAGCCUAAAUUGAUUGUGGGAAGAAAAGAACUUGGGGGAAAGAGCCUGGAUUAAUGCCUAGUAUAGAUCCUGGCAUACACAAGGUGUUUAAUAAAUGCUCUCAUGACUCUGGAGCUGAGCUCUGGGUUCUAUUUCUGGAGAUAAAAAUGAUUAGAAAUGCAGGCCUUGGUGACAGACCUGGGUUUGAACCCUGGAAUUUCUGCCUCCUGACUGUGUGACUUUCAGCGAAUAACUUAACUUUUGUGAGCCUCAGUUUCCUUAUCUGUAAAAUGGGGAGGGAGAGGUAUUAAUACCUUCUUCACAGCAUUUUCAAGAGGAUCAAAUGAAAUAUUAACUAUAAAUUACAUAGUUCAGUGUUGGUACAUAGUAAGGGCUCAAUAAAUGGCGACUCUUAUUACUGACUUUGAACGAGGCCCAGGUCCUCUCAGGCCCCCAAUUCUUCUUUAGUCAGCUGAACACAGUCACCUCGGGGUGUGUGAGGGGCGUCAAACAGAGCAGCAGGAAAGCUCUUGUACAGCUGUCUUGCCUCUUGAAGAGCGUCCACCUCACCCCCAGCACAAGGACUGUGUUACUUUUUAAGACUUCCGACGCCAGGAGAGGGAAGCCACUCUGGGGUGCUGUAACUGGGGGGAGCUGACUAACAGGCUUUGUCUACACCCAGGUGCUGAGCGUGGGGAGCCUGACGUUUUGAAGGAUGAGCUUCAACUCUGUGAAGGUGCCCCUGGGGAGGUGAUGCUGUCUGAGGAAUCAGGACUCCGAAGGAGAGGCUCUAACCCAGAGAGUGGAGAAGUGGAGCCCUCUCGGUUAAGAAGACUAAAUAUAAAGAAGGAUGGUAAGGAAAUUGGGGUUCCAGGGCUGCUGCUUUUGUCUGGUCCAGAUUUCUCUGGGUAGAAAGUCAGCUGGUGGCCUGGAACGACAGUAAUCAUGGCCCACCUCUGCCGCGGGCCCUGCAGUUUGCAAAAUCCUCAGCUUAGAAUCACCUUGAGAAGGUGGUACAAUGAUUCCUGUUUUGCAGAUAUGGAAACUGAGGCUCAAGGACGGGGAGUGGUCUUACAGCUAGUGAGUGACACGACUUGGGCUAGGAUCCUGGUCCUGCGCUCUUUCUGCUGUACGCAGAGUCACUAGCAUGAUAAACGCCCUCCAGGCCUUAUGGCCAUAAUGGGGAGCUGGGAACAGGCUGGGCCGCGGAAGCUGUGAGGUUAGAUUAGACUGGACUCUAGGGAAGGAGUGAUGAGAACCGGAGGGACUGCCUCGACUCCAGGCCUGGA